rnacentral:rRNA from 1 species
CCUACGGGCGGCAGCAGUGGGGAAUAUUGCACAAUGGGGGAAACCCUGAUGCAGCGACGCCGCGUGAGUGAAGAAGUAUUUCGGUACGUAAAGCUCUAUCAGCAGGGAAGAAAAUGACGGUACCUGACUAAGAAGCCCCGGCUAACUACGUGCCAGCAGCCGCGGUAAUACGUAGGGGGCAAGCGUUAUCCGGAUUUACUGGGUGUAAAGGGAGCGUAGACGGCAGGGCAAGUCUGGAGUGAAAUGCCGGGGCCCAACCCCGGAACUGCGUUGGAAACUGUGAAGCUGGAGUGCAGGAGAGGUAAGCGGAAUUCCUGGUGUAGCGGUGAAAUGCGUAGAUAUCAGGAGGAACACCAGCGGCGAAGGCGGCUUACUGGACUAUAACUGACGUUGAGGCUCGAAAGCGUGGGUAUCGAACAGGAUUAGAUACCCGGGUAGUC